rnacentral:misc_RNA from 1 species
GGAAGGAUCAUUACCAGAAGAGACCCUAACCGGUCCUCUCAACCCUGCCUAUCGUACCCUUUGUGUUGUUCCCUCGGCGAGGCUUGCAGGCCUGCCGGCGGGAAGAUCAACAAAACCCUUUGCAAGCAAGCAUCCUGAAACCUCUGAUCAAAUACAAAUUGUCACAACUUUCAACAAUGGAUCUCUUGGUUCUGGCAUCGAUGAAGAACGCAGCGAAAUGCGAUAAGUAGUGUGAAUUGCAGAAUUCAGUGAAUCAUCGAAUCUUUGAACGCACAUUGCGCCCCUCGGUAUUCCGUGGGGCAUGCCUGUUCGAGCGUCAUUUACACCUCUCAAGCUCUGCUUGGUGUUGGGCGUCUGUCCGCUGCUGAGUUGCUACGGAGUAGUAUUAUAUCCGUUGCCAUAGGCUAUGGACUCACCCUAAAGGCAUUGGCAGCGGCAUCCGCCGGGCUUUCCCCAUCAGCGCAGCACUGUUCGCGCACCCGGGGAGCCGCGCGGAGGCUGCGUCCAUGAAGCCCCAUCUUUUGCAAGUUGACCUCGGAUCAGGUAGGGAUACCCGCUGAACUUAAGCAUAUCAAUAAGCGGAGGAAAAGAAACCAACUGGGAUUGCCUUAGUAACGGCGAGUGAAGCGGCAACAGCUCAAAUUUGAAAUCUGGCCUCUUUAUGGGGUCCGAGUUGUAAUUUGCAGAGGGUGCUUUGGCUUUGGUUGCGGUCUAAGUUCCUUGGAACAGGACAUCAAAGAGGGUGAGAAUCCUGUAUUUGGUCGCGCACCAUCGCCGUGUAAAGCCCCUUCGACGAGUCGAGUUGUUUGGGAAUGCAGCUCUAAAUGGGAGGUAAAUUCCUUCUAAAGCUAAAUACCGGCCAGAGACCGAUAGCGCACAAGUAGAGUGAUCGAAAGAUGAAAAGCACUUUGGAAAGAGAGUUAAAAAGCACGUGAAAUUGUUGAAAGGGAAGCGCUUGCAGCCAGACUUGCCCGCAGUUGCUCACCCAGGCUCUUGCCUGGGGCACUCUUCUGCGGGCAGGCCAGCAUCAGCUCGGGCGGUCGGAUAAAGGCCUCUGUCAUGUAUCUUCCUUCGGGAUGACCUUAUAGGGGAGGCGUAACACGGCCAGCCCGGGCUGAGGACCGCGCAUCUGCUAGGAUGCUGGCGUAAUGGCCGCAAGCGGCCCGUCUUGAAACACGGACCAAGGAGUCUAACAUCUGUGCGAGUGUUUGGGUGUCAAGCCCGGGCGCGCAAUGAAAGUGAACGGAGGUGGGAACCCUCUCCGGGGGGUGCACCAUCGACCGAUCCUGAUGUCUUCGGAUGGAUUUGAGUAAGAGCACGGCUGUUGGGACCCGAAAGAUGGUGAACUAUGCUUGAAUAGGGUGAAGCCAGAGGAAACUCUGGUGGAGGCUCGCAGCGGUUCUGACGUGCAAAUCGAUCGUCAAAUUUGGGCAUAGGGGCGAAAGACUAAUCGAACUAUCUAGUAGCUGGUUCCUGC